AGAGUUUGAUCCUGGCUCAGAUUGAACGCUGGCGGCAGGCCUAACACAUGCAAGUCGAGCGGAUGACGGGAGCUUGCUCCUUGAUUCAGCGGCGGACGGGUGAGUAAUGCCUAGGAAUCUGCCUGGUAGUGGGGGACAACGUUUCGAAAGGAACGCUAAUACCGCAUACGUCCUACGGGAGAAAGCAGGGGACCUUCGGGCCUUGCGCUAUCAGAUGAGCCUAGGUCGGAUUAGCUAGUUGGUGGGGUAAUGGCUCACCAAGGCGACGAUCCGUAACUGGUCUGAGAGGAUGAUCAGUCACACUGGAACUGAGACACGGUCCAGACUCCUACGGGAGGCAGCAGUGGGGAAUAUUGGACAAUGGGCGAAAGCCUGAUCCAGCCAUGCCGCGUGUGUGAAGAAGGUCUUCGGAUUGUAAAGCACUUUAAGUUGGGAGGAAGGGCAGUAAGCUAAUACCUUGCUGUUUUGACGUUACCGACAGAAUAAGCACCGGCUAACUCUGUGCCAGCAGCCGCGGUAAUAC
rnacentral:rRNA from 10 species